UACGUAGGGGGCAAGCGUUGUCCGGAAUCAUUGGGCGUAAAGAGCGUGUAGGCGGCCCGGUAAGUCCGCUGUGAAAGUCCAGGGCUCAACCCUGGAAUGCCGGUGGAAACUGUCGGGCUAGAGUCCGGAAGAGGCGAGUGGAAUUCCUGGUGUAGCGGUGAAAUGCGCAGAUAUCAGGAGGAACACCAAUGGCGAAGGCAGCUCACUGGGACGGUACUGACGCUGAGACGCGAAAGCGUGGGGAGCGAACAGG
rnacentral:rRNA from 1 species